UGUAUUUCUAAAAUGGAGUCCAAAGUUUUAUAAACUGUAAAAUGCACACAGUUCUAGCUACUCUCUAAAAAGAAAAAGGCCACUUAAUUAAGUAAGCCACAGCAUGGCAGCUUUUAUUAAAAUCAAUUCCAGAAGAAAUGACACAUGAGUCAAUGAAAAAUGACCGGGAAUGCAGAUAUAGCCUGCUGAAUUGCAUGUGGAGAGAAUUUACGAGCGGCACAGAUCCCAUAUUUCACAUGAAUGGUUUCCCCAGUUUGCAUUUUCCAGUAGUAGCAAGCUCAACUCUGUUAUUGACAGAUCGCCCUGGGGCCGCCAGCUACAGCCCUGUUUGCAUAGCCAG
rnacentral:lncRNA from 1 species